rnacentral:ncRNA from 1 species
AGGAGCCGUGUGAAGGGAAACUUUCAUGCACGGUUCUGAAGACCAGCCGUAAAGGCGACUUUACGGCUGAGUUUAAU